UCAAACUUAAGUAUGAAUAAGAAAAUACAUUUAAUGUGCAUUAUACCUUGCAUGAGACCACAUAUGUUUGUAUUUUAAUAAUAAGCAGUAAAAUAAGGCAACGCUGCAGCCACAGUAUUAAUUUUAUUCUCAAGGUUUGCUAUUUUCCGUUUUGACUGUUUGUGCAUGUUUGCAUGUGUUGGAUUUUGUUUUGUUUUACUUUUUAAAUUGGAUUUGUAUCAGUUAAAAGAUAUGUAUCAGCACUAAGUAGUUGUAUAGUGUUGUAUGUCUGGUAAAUAACUGCAGUGACUUAAUUCUUGUUGCAGCUGGUUUAGUAGGCCAUAGUUUCUCCAUAUAGGCCAUUACAAUGUGAGUGUUCUUGCUGCAGCUAUGCCCUAGGUGAUUUUGGCAGCCUUCCAGCUGCUUCCUCACAGAGUUUUGCAGUUGUCCAUACCAAGUGUCUCCUGGCCUUGAGUCAUGGAGACUGGAUGUCAUCUUCCUCUUUUAAAUCUUGGUGUGCAGCCAGGUUUGGUUGUUUGCUCUAAAUGUUUCAAGACCUAGUAUACAUAGCGAUCAGGCUUAACAUUUUGCUCUGAUAAUGUCAUACCUUUGAGCCAUGCAAAUAGUUUGGAUGUUCUCAAUCCCUGCUAAGAGGCAAAGAUCAAGAAAUCCUGAAGUCCAGGCAUGCAGAUUUCUUCAAGAAUAUCUUUAUAAUGAGACAGCUAUAUACUUGUACCCCCUUGAAACCUUGCUGUAUCAAAGCAGAGGAUAUGAAGAUUACUUGCAAGUAAGAAAAAGAAAAGAUGGUUCUUCAGCAAUACUCUGUUCAUGUCAAGACAGCAUUUUGAUUUGGGAUACCAGCAUAGGAUUCAUCUUGGUCUUGGAUUCAGCUAAUACAUGAGGACUCUUUGAUGGAUGAUCACUUGCCAUGAAGCUUGAAUUCUUCUUGAUAUUUGGAGGCCCACAUUGACAUCCAGCUCUGCUGAUCCAUUGCUGCCUAAACUUCUGCCUGUAAAAACACCCUGACUGCUAGCAGCAUGCAGAAGAAUCUGAAUUUGUGCCUGAGGCAUCCCUUCCAGCACUUUCUGACAUUUGAAACUUGGAAGACAAGUGAAGAAAAGGAAAGCAGAAGAGAAAUUUACUGGAGCUUCCAAGAAAUUAGAGGUGUGGACAAGGUUUCUGCAAGAGGAAAAGCAAAGGGCCAGAGAAAUAGGACUGACCUUCAUGUGACCAAGGAGAAGGCCAGGAACGGGUUGGCAAUAAACAGGAAGCUGGUGGAAGAGUGUAAAUCAUCCAAGGGCAGAGCCUUGCUGAAAUCUGGAAUACUGGAAGCAGAGAAAUGCGAAAGCAUCUGGGUAGAGAUAAUGAAUCUACAAACAUAAUUAUCAGAAAUGCUGUGCUUUGUCAGGCACCUCCCACAGUGAACCUUGGGGCAGUUACUACAUUAAUAGGACUUCCCCUGGAUAUGCUGUUCUACAAAUUCUAUAGAACAGUUUUUCUACUGGAAACGAACUGUCUUUUUAUUUGCAUUGAAAACAUGAACAUGGGAGAUGGAAGUUUUAACUGAAACAUGGGGUUGAUGUUUGGCUACUAGAAAUUCUGGGAUUGUUGAGUGACCACCAGGAAGAAAGGCCAGAGGAAAAAUUAACUUUCUUUUUUGCAUAGGCUAGAAAUUUAGAAGCUGGACAAGGUCAUAGAGAGUAUGUCAGUGAAGGUAUUUAAACAUACAGAAAAACAUGUCUGUCUUGGGAAGUCACUUCUUGCAAAUGGUUAGAAGCUGAGUAAGUAUUUGGAAAGGCAGAUCAUGUCAAUACAUGCAUUCUUGCUCCAUUUUAUAUUUUUCCUUAGUUGUGUAUACAAAGCUUUGGCCACUCACAGACAGGGUACUGCACUGGAUGGACUGGCUUGACCUACUACAGCUGUUUUUACAUACAGACUGCAGUUUACCACAGUAUCUCAGCAUUUUAAUUGCUGGAAACAAAUUUAGUUUCUUCCUCUCAAAGUUGGAAAAGGUUAUAUUUGUAUAACUUUCCAGUGCAUUUAUGAGCAAAAGUUAAUAACUUUAAGUAUAUUACAGAAUCUGUAUAAUUACACUAUCUUGAUAGCAUACCUACAGUACUUUCAUAAAUUCAUUGUUGAGUAUGAGUGAGGCACAAAAAGUUUGUGUGUUGAUUUAAAAUAAAUAAAUCCAAAAUGUGUCCAUA